rnacentral:siRNA from 1 species
UUAUCUUCAGCCAUACUAGACA